ACACCGGCAGCUCUAGUGGUAGCUGGUUUUAUUGGGCCUAAAGCGUUCGUAGCCGGUUUGGUAAGUCACUGGUGAAAUCCUGUAGCUUAACUAUGGGAUUUGCUGGUGUUACUGUUGACCUUGGGGUCGGCAGAGGUGAGCGAUACUCCCAUGGUGGGGUGGAAAUUCUGUAAUCUAGGGAGUACCACCUGUGGCGAAGGCGGCUAACUGGAACGAGCCUGACGGUGAGGGACGAAAGCUAGGGGCGCGAGCCGGAUUAGAUACCCGGGUAGUCCUAGCCGUAAACGAUGCGGACUUGGUGUUGGGAUGGAUUUGAGCCGCUCCGGUGCCGAAGGGAAGCUGUUAAGUCCGCCGCCUGGGAAGUACGGUCGCAAGACUGAAACUUAAAGGAAUUGGCGGGG
rnacentral:rRNA from 1 species